GGGGGUGAAGGGCUUCGACUUAUUGAGUAGUUGAUUGGUCGCAUGUCGCGAGGGUAGGCCUCCCGCGUUAACGGGGCCUUCAAAAACAAACGCAAACCAAAAUUUUGCAUAUGCAGGGCAACCUGCAUUAUGCGGCAUGAGUUAAUGCCGCCCUUUUAUACUCUGUCGCUUCAGCGGGGUAUAUGAGGUCACUAUUGAAGAUAAGGAAAAACCUUUUGUCUUAGGGGUUUAUCUCGAAAACCACAUAAGAUUGCUUUUUAAAGGAUCCCGCUUUUUGGAGCCUUUAAAGAAAAGAUAAACAUAAAGCUAAGCAUGUAGUGACUAAUUGACGAGGCUUUAAGGACGCGGGUUCGAUUCCCGCCACCUCCACCA
rnacentral:tmRNA from 1 species